CCUUCCAUCUUCCUAAAGCCUCAAGGCCCUCAUCACCUGAUCCCAUAGCAGGUCUCCAUCACAGUAAUGAAAAAACCUUCCCACAGAUCUGAAAGUCGUUAGCACGCCAGUGCUGCUAGUCAUUCUUGCCUCCUCCUUGGGAACCACCUGGAAACUUCCUUGUUUGUGUGGUGUGUGUGUGAAGAGAUGGGGAUACUCGUUCUGAAUGA